AUAAUUUAUGUAAAUCAUUAAUCGCAAUAAUCUUCUUGAUUAAUUGCAAUAAUCAAAAGAAAAAACAGAAAUAAAUGAUUCAAGAGAGAUUUUAUUAAACUGAGUAAGAUAAUGCCCGCUGGUAUUUGAAUCUUAUUGUGAAAUUAUAUAAUACAAUAACUGGAAGAAGAUAUAAAGAGAGAAAGUGUAUUAAAUAGCUAAUUACAAAGCCAAUGCAUUUCAGCAUUAAUUGAAUAACAGUGAAAUUUCGUAUUUGAAUUUUUUUUCAUGGUCACAAUGUUCACAUAAUUGAAGAAAGAAAAGGAAGUUGAACUCGUGAUUGUUCUCUCUCUGGAUGGUAUCGAUAAUUUAUCUAGCACGAAUGAAAUAAAUCGAUCGAUACAAGUUUUAUGUACAAUGGAUGAUUCACGACUGCGAGGCUAGACGACACUUUCGAGCCACCAUUAAAAAUCCACUAUGUAGACGCAAUAGUACUUGUAUAUCGGUGGAGGUUUGUCUGCCGACAGUAUGGUGGCAUUUAACCGAUCCAUGCCAUCGUGUUCGCCAGUUCUAUUACGCAACUAAUGCCUUUAAGCCGGCGGCAACGAUUGUGACGACGACGUCGACGACAACGAAGAUGACAACAGCAACAUCGACCUCAUGUGGUUCAGCUUAGAUUCUUGCGAAAUUUUUAAUUCUCAUGUGGAUUUCUCAUUACAGAUGGAAUUAAGUUCAAUAUAUAUUUACAAAUUCCAUUCAAUUUUAAUAAGCAUCAAUGAUCAGUAU